rnacentral:rRNA from 1 species
GACGAACGCUGGCGGCGUGCUUAACACAUGCAAGUCGAACGGAAAGGCCCUGCUUUUGUGGGGUGCUCGAGUGGCGAACGGGUGAGUAACACGUGAGUAACCUGCCCUUGACUUUGGGAUAACUUCAGGAAACUGGGGCUAAUACCGGAUAGGAGCUCUUGCUGCAUGGUGGGGGUUGGAAAGUUUCGGCGGUUGGGGAUGGACUCGCGGCUUAUCAGCUUGUUGGUGGGGUAGUGGCUUACCAAGGCUUUGACGGGUAGCCGGCCUGAGAGGGUGACCGGCCACAGUGGGACUGAGAUACGGCCCAGACUCCUACGGGAGGCAGCAGUGGGGAAUAUUGCACAAUGGGCGGAAGCCUGAUGCAGCAACGCCGCGUGCGGGAUGACGGCCUUCGGGUUGUAAACCGCUUUCGCCUGUGACGAAGCGUGAGUGACGGUAAUGGGUAAAGAAGCACCGGCUAACUACGUG